AGUCCUACAUAUUUUGUUUCAUCUAUGAUUUUUGUAACAUCAAUUCAACUAUAUAUUUGUUUUUGUUGAUGUUUAAAUUGUCAUUACCGUUUCUUUUUGUUAUUUUUACAGGAAAUUUGUUGCAAAUAAAUUUGUGCACUCUAUUUUCAUUAUUUAAAAAUCAAGACGUUCCGGCAAUCCACCGUAAGCAAAAUUGGCUUCGUUUGAAAUCGAGUCGACGAACAAAGCACAUUCGUUGCAAUCAAAUUCGGAUUUGAAAAUGGAAGCAGCGUAGAACCUGUCUUGUAGUGUUUUGUGCGUUUUAAAAUUGAACCUGCAAGAACAACAAAUUCACAGAGGUUUAUUUGUAACCCUUAAGUCUAAACUAUGGUAUCAGUAAGAGGAAACUGGUUUUCAUUCUCUUUAAUCGUUUCGUUUGGUGCUAUGGUAAACAAAAAUAUUCAAAGACCGUCGCUAAUUCUUAUUAAAUACACGAAUACAAAACAUGGGACUAUAUGCGCUGAAGGUAUCUCAUCUUACCCCACAAUGCGAUAUCGCUAUCACGUUGAGAAUUGGGGAAAGAAUAGAGUGUGAACACUUUUCAACCACCAGCUUACUUACUAGCCUACAAACCAGCACAAACCAGCAUUUAUCAUAUAAAGCAUGUAUAUAGGUGUAGCUAAAUUAGAGGUUAAAAAUUAACCUGCUUGAUUCAAAGCUCCAGCCAUCCGCAGCAUGUAUCUCUUCAAUAUAAAUUGUUAUAAAAUCA